CAGAUUUUGAAAGAAGACAUCCAUCUGGAGAAGAAAAAAAAAACAAAACAGGAUAGGAUAUGUGAUCAGGGAAGCCUCUGGUUUCGGAGAGACAGUGAUUUAGGUCUGCCCUCAGUGUUCUACCUGGCUGAGAUGCUCCAAUGACGCCCGAGAUGAGAGCAGCCUGGCGUAGCUGCUACAACUGGGGGAUUCUCGGUUCUUUCUGGACACCGGUGUCUCAAGUUCCAAGGCCAGCUCUUCUGAGGCGAAGGUGGACCCCUCUCUGAGUCCCACACUGAAGUAGGCUUUUGUAGCCUGGAAACAUCCAAAGCAACAGAAGAACAUUCUACCCAGGGAAUAGUUGCAAUGGCUUGAGAAGACUACUUCCAAGUUCUCACAGCCUUGACCCCACCUGUGGUCAAGGUGAUGUGCACUGCUAGUUCUGGGAUUGGGAUCUGAUACCUCCCCUUCCCCACCCCCGAUAUGAGAGUAGCAGAGAAACCCAUCUUCAUACCCAAAAGAGACUCAUUCUGACCUCUGCUCCCAACUCUCUAACCAUAUCUGAAUGACCUCAGUUUUGACUACUGUGUAAUGGAGCAGUACCUUCGUUUUUAAAUCUUACAAAGCCUCAAAAAAGGUCGAGCCAUAAAAACUGUACAGGUGUUAGGUCAGGCACUGACAUUUAAAUGACUGUGCCGCGUGUAUCUUUGUGUUAAAGCAGCAACAUCUUAAGCAGGA
rnacentral:lncRNA from 1 species